rnacentral:rRNA from 1 species
AACGAACGCUGGCGGCAGGCUUAACACAUGCAAGUCGAGCGCCCCGCAAGGGGAGCGGCAGACGGGUGAGUAACGCGUGGGGAUGUACCCAAAGGUACGGAACAACUCCGGGAAACUGGAGCUAAUACCGUAUGUGUCCGAGAGGAGAAAGAUUUAUCGCCUUUGGAUCAACCCGCGUCAGAUUAGCUAGUUGGUAGGGUAAUGGCCUACCAAGGCGACGAUCUGUAGCUGGUCUGAGAGGAUGAUCAGCCACACUGGGACUGAGACACGGCCCAGACUCCUACGGGAGGCAGCAGUGGGGAAUAUUGGACAAUGGGCGCAAGCCUGAUCCAGCCAUGCCGCGUGAGUGAUGACGGCCUUAGGGUUGUAAAGCUCUUUCGACGGGGACGAUAAUGACGGUACCCGUAGAAGAAGCCCCGGCUAACUUCGUGCCAGCAGCCGCAGUAA